UACGUAGGGUGCGAGCGUUGUCCGGAAUUAUUGGGCGUAAAGAGCUCGUAGGCGGUGUGUCACGUCGGCCGUGAAAACCUGCAGCUUAACUGUGGGCGUGCGGUCGAUACGGGCAUCACUGGAGUUCGGCAGGGGAGACUGGAAUUCCUGGUGUAGCGGUGAAAUGCGCAGAUAUCAGGAGGAACACCGGUGGCGAAGGCGGGUCUCUGGGCAGUAACUGACGCUGAGGAGCGAAAGCGUGGGGAGCGAACAGG
rnacentral:rRNA from 1 species